GCAGUCUGCAACUCGAGUGCAUGAAGCUGGAAUCGCUAGUAAUCGCGGAUCAGAAUGCCGCGGUGAAUACGUUCCCGGGUCUUGUACACACCGCCCGUCACACCAUGGGAGCUGGUAACACCCGAAGUCAGUAGUCUAACCGCAAGGAGGACGCUGCCGAAGGUGGGAUUAGCGACUGGGGUGAAGUCGUAACAAGGUAGC
rnacentral:rRNA from 1 species